GACGAACGCUGGCGGCGUGCUUAACACAUGCAAGUCGAACGGAAAGGCCCUGCUUUUGUGGGGUGCUCGAGUGGCGAACGGGUGGGUAACACGUGAGUAACCUGCCCUUGACUUUGGGAUAACUUCAGGAAACUUGGGCUAAUACCGGAUAGGAGCUCCUGCUGCAUGGUGGGGGUUGGAAAGUUUCGGCGGUUGGGGAUGGACUCGCGGCUUAUCAGCUUGUUGGUGGGGUAGUGGCUUACCAAGGCUUUGACGGGUAGCCGGCCUGAGAGGGUGACCGGCCACAUUGGGACUGAGAUACGGCCCAGACUCCUACGGGAGGCAGCAGUGGGGAAUAUUGCACAAUGGGCGGAAGCCUGAUGCAGCAACGCCGCGUGCGGGAUGACGGCCUUCGGGUUGUAAACCGCUUUCGCCUGUGACGAAGCGUGAGUGACGGUAAUGGGUAAAGAAGCACCGGCUAACUACGUG
rnacentral:rRNA from 1 species